GGAAGUAAAAGUCGUAACAAGAUUUCCGUAGGUGGACCUGCGGAAGGAUCAUUAUUGUAUAACCGAGGUGCGAGGGCUGUCGCUGACCCGAAAGGUCGUGCACGCCCGAGUGCCCUCACACACAUCCAUCUCACCCCUAUGUGCACCACCGCGUGGGUCCCCCUUUGGCUUGUUCGGAGGGGGGCUUACGUUUUCACACAAACUUUGUAUGCAGUGUAGAAUGUAUUUUUUGUUUUUGCGAUCACGCAAUCAAUACAACUUUCAACAACGGAUCUCUUGGCUCUC
rnacentral:misc_RNA from 1 species